GGGAAACCUCCAAGAGAAAGCUGCAGAAGCUUGCAGCGAGGUGCCCGCGGUAGCUAUGGUAACGGGAUAAGUCAGGACCGCUGGCAAGGCUUUCCCCACCUCCCCCAUGGAGAUUUCAGUGGUGGAUAAUAAAAGCUCUCCAUUCUCUCCCUGGAUGACCUCAUCCGUCCCCAAGACUCAGCUAACAGCACCUCCAAGCCAAUCACUACCAACUGUUCACGCUCAGCCCAGUUCCUCUGCGGAGUUCCAGAACUAUAUCCUCAACCACCUUGUAGAUUUCACACCUGGAAAUUCUAACUAAAUGUCCAGGCCUCCCUAAAUUCGGUCUAGCCAGGCCCCACCCUCAGGGCUACUCACCGGCUCUAGCUCUGCGAAGUGGUUCAGCUGUCUACCCAACCUCCUGGCUUCUCAUUUCCUCCCAGGUCCCAUGAUCGUGUGUGUAAUAAUAGUUAAAAGAAUGGUCAUGUGCAAAAAUUUAAAAGGGAGCAGUGAACUUAGGAUCGCAAGUAGCAUUGAUAGAUGACGUAACUGAACUAGAAAGUCCUAGUUUUGAAACAUUAUUCUUCGUUUAUGUGAAAUAUUGUGAGGUUAUCUGAAAGAAUUAAUGAUUGAGAUAACUUCUUAAUGGAAAACACAUGUUAUAAAGAAAAACCGAGUAAAUGGGGAGGGGACCCCAGACAUCAGGAGCUCAAUAUGUACAUAUUACUCUUGUCUUCUGCUUGCCAUUUUUUGGGGGGUAAUAGGUCACUUGCUAUCUCAGAGUCACGGUUUUCUCAUCUUUCAAAUGGCUGGACAAGUUAAUAUUGUCCCUACCUAACUCACAGGGACGUUUCAUUAUAAGGGGGGGAAAGCUUAUUAUCAUAAACAGUAUCAGGGAAGACAUGGAUGAAUUAAAAAAGAAAAUCUAACGAAUACGACAUAAUAAUCAAGAACCAGGUGAAGGGUUUAAUACUAAUAAAAGUCACUUGGACUUUUAUUAGUAUUACUCACUAUGGUAACACAACAGAGAAGUCAUACAAUUAAGAAAGAUCCCUAAAGCCGUUUGAAAAUAAAUCAACACUGAUUUUUCGAUUUAAAAACCUCUUAUAUUUAAAAGACAUACAAAAAAUGUUUUAAACAUA